CUGGCCCUCAUACUCUUUGCCAGUUUUCACAGCUAGAGCCUCUUAACUCACACAGGUAGCUAACACCCGCACGCAGGUAGGAAGGAAUACAGGCCUCUCAGAGGUUCCGAGCAGCCUAACUUUAUGGCGGGUUUUAUGUGGGUAACAGAACUGAGCCUUUGCUCUGUUUUCCAGCUCCCUCACUUCAUCCCUUCCUGGAGUCCUUGCUGGACAUGCUGGUUUCUCUGGAACUAGGACGUUCGAUUCCCUUGCUCAGUGCUUUCCGGAGGCUGAAGAUGAGCAGAGUCCUCAACCCCAGGCUCCUUCUUUCUCAUGCUCUGACACUUCUGGCUUGGUGUUUUUCAUCUAUGAAGGUUUACAUUUCAAAUGAGGUGUGGAACAACUUGACUGGAAGGUUCUAAUGCCACCUACAUGCAUGAUGUAGAUCCAAGUAAGUCAACUAUAUUUUUUCCUGUUUAAACCUGUGUUGGGAGGUCUAUGGGCUUGCUCUGCAGAAUAUUCUAGGACCAGUGGCUUUCAGCAUGUUGGGGGAGCUAGUUAGAAGUACAGAGCCUCUGGCCCCACUUCAGAUGGACUGAGUUCGAGUCCACAUUGUAACAUGAGACCAUCUGACUGUCCAGUCCACUGGACACUGUACAUUGUGUAAUGUACAACGCACGUUGUAAAGAACUGAUGUGUGAAGUCACGACUCUGGGAUGAACUGCUGCCUCUUGAGAUGCUCCACCUUCUGAAUCACUACUUUUCCCAACUCCUUUAUUGCCGAUGAUGUAAAUGUUAGGUGAGUUGGGUGCAUUUCCCUCUGAGAGUGUGAACUCUGACCAACCACCCAGGAUGCUGCAGGACACAGUGUCUCUCUGUGAACAUUUCACAUUGGUUAUUUCUUGGGAAAACUCUUGCGUGAGGCCUUUUCAACUGUGUUAACACAUCACAGGAACAUUUCAUUUUGCUUUUGGUCAUGAUCUGAUAUGGGCUUGGAUGAUAGGCAGCCUGAGGGUGCAGGUUGGAUGAGAACCACUCAAGUUCAGCCAUCAGUUUGAGGCACUCAGUGCACUGCUGGCUGACAGGAGGUGACUCCAAACAACUCUCUCAGCAUUUAUGAUGGAGAAGGAGCUGCAGGUGCUUCAGGCUGGGUGAGCUGACUCCACCCCAGAGCGUCUGAGAUGGGUGGCCAGUAGUGCUGCUCUGGACGGUAACCAGUGAGUGGUCUUGCUGCCAGAAACUGUCCCUGAAGGGGCAGGGCUGGGCCAAUGACUGAUUCCAUACGUCAGGCCCACCCACUGCAGAGAGGGGGCCAAUAAGACACACAGAGUGUUGGAGCCUCAGACUGCCUACACCCAGGAUAGGGCUACAGCCCCCAAAGGAGGAGACAGCUCCAUUGACCUGGCACCCAGUUGGACAGGUCCUUUUUAAUAAAUGGUGCCAUAAAAAGAACA
rnacentral:lncRNA from 1 species